rnacentral:lncRNA from 1 species
GUCAGUGCCCUGGCAGCCACCCAGCCUCAGAGCAGAAGCUAGGACGGCCACCCUCUUGAAAGUUCAGGUGGAUCUACUUGAAAAAUGAACGAAGUUGAGGAGGUUGGAAUUCCCUUCCAUCUGGUGCCAUCGUCUGAAUCCGUUUCCUGAGGAUUGCUGCUCCUUUUUGUGAGAAACAAGACUGCAGAUUCAAAUCUAAACUGUAUCGCCUUGUUCUCGGUGACUUGGGAAUCCUCCUUCGGCUGCAGUUGGGCUCCACACUCUACCCCAGGCUAAACCUUCUUUCUCAAACCCUCAGAAGGCAUUCAACCGUGUUAACGCUGCCCACUCACCAACUCAGAUCGGGACCAAGGCUCAGGCAUUCGGCAACGUGCCCAGGCUUUACCUCUUGGGACUUCCAACGUGUUUAGAAAGCACAAUGCCAGUGGCAGAGCAGACAGAUGGACUGUCGAGGAGCUUGUGGCAAAAUCCCUCUUCCUCCCAAAACAUCAGCUAUGAUUAGCUGUGUCCUCACCACGAAACUGCAGGGGCGUGUAUGGGUGAGUCACUGCUGUCCAAAGCGCAUGCGCGGGGUGCUUGCUGGCCCAGUGGGGGACCUGGGUGGCUGUCAGAAGGGCCCUGUUCCCCUUUUCCUAUGCCCAGUGCUGGUUGAAAUUUUAGGGUCCAGGUAUGUGGGUGAGUGUUUCAGAACCAUCCCCUGUGCUGCCUGGCUUCCAGAGGGCUCGGCAGGCCAGGCCACUGCCAUUCAGAGCAGCUCUGUGGAGGGGGUCCCUCCCCACCCAACCCAGCAGACCCACCCAGGAGCACGCCAAGG